AUUGAACGCUGGCGGCAGGCUUAACACAUGCAAGUCGAACGGUAGCAGGAGAAAGCUUGCUUUCUUGCUGACGAGUGGCGGACGGGUGAGUAAUACUUGGGAAUCUGGCUUAUGGAGGGGGAUAACUACGGGAAACUGUAGCUAAUACCGCGUAGUAUCGUAAGAUGAAAGUGCGGGACCGCAAGGCCGCAUGCCAUGGGAUGAGCCCAAGUGGGAUUAGGUAGUUGGUGGGGUAAAGGCCUACCAAGCCUGCGAUCUCUAGCUGGUCUGAGAGGAUGGUCAGCCACACUGGAACUGAGACACGGUCCAGACUCCUACGGGAGGCAGCAGUGGGGAAUAUUGCGCAAUGGGGGGAACCCUGACGCAGCCAUGCCGCGUGAAUGAAGAAGGCCUUCGGGUUGUAAAGUUCUUUCGGUAUUGAGGAAGGAGUGUAUGUUAAUAGCAUACAUUAUUGACGUUAAAUACAGAAGAAGCACCGGCUAACUCCGUGCCAGCAGCCGCGGUAAUACGGAGGGUGCGAGCGUUAAUCGGAAUAACUGGGCGUAAAGGGCACGCAGGCGGUUAUUUAAGUGAGGUGUGAAAGCCCCGGGCUUAACCUGGGAAUUGCAUUUCAGACUGGGUAACUAGAGUACUUUAGGGAGGGGUAGAAUUCUACGUGUAGCGGUGAAAUGCGUAGAGAUGUGGAGGAAUACCGAAGGCGAAGGCAGCCCCUUGGGAAUGUACUGACGCUCAUGUGCGAAAGCGUGGGGAGCAAACAGG
rnacentral:rRNA from 1 species